CGGGACACGUGGUAUCCUGUCUGAAUAUGGGGGGACCAUCCUCCAAGGCUAAAUACUCCUGACUGACCGAUAGUGAACCAGUACCGUGAGGGAAAGGCGAAAAGAACCCCGGCGAGGGGAGUGAAAAAGAACCUGAAACCGUGUACGUACAAGCAGUGGGAGCACGCUUAGGCGUGUGACUGCGUACCUUUUGUAUAAUGGGUCAGCGACUUAUAUUCUGUAGCAAGGUUAACCGAAUAGGGGAGCCGAAGGGAAACCGAGUCUUAACUGGGCGUUAAGUUGCAGGGUAUAGACCCGAAACCCGGUGAUCUAGCCAUGGGCAGGUUGAAGGUUGGGUAACACUAACUGGAGGACCGAACCGACUAAUGUUGAAAAAUUAGCGGAUGACUUGUGGCUGGGGGUGAAAGGCCAAUCAAACCGGGAGAUAGCUGGUUCUCCCCGAAAGCUAUUUAGGUAGCGCCUCGUGAAUUCAUCUCCGGGGGUAGAGCACUGUUUCGGCAAGGGGGUCAUCCCGACUUACCAACCCGAUGCAAACUGCGAAUACCGGAGAAUGUUAUCACGGG
rnacentral:rRNA from 1 species